GAAAGGGCAAUUGCCAGUCCUUUACUUACAAUUGUAGGGACAUGCUCUGCAUACUUUAUGGUCGCCACUGAAGCAGUUGUCAUUGAAAAUGUUGAUGGUGUGAUCCAAGGCAGUCUCUUGGGUUUGAUGGACAGUGGCUGUUCACAUGGGGGAAAACUACAAAAAGUACAUUCUCUGGAUUCUCUAUGGAUGCUUAUUUUAUAUAAUAUACAUAUGAAAUUCUAAAAGUAGGUUCUAU